CGCGGGGUGGAGCAGCUCGGUAGCUCGCCAGGCUCAUAACCUGGAGGUCAUAGGUUCAAAUCCUAUCCCCGCUA
rnacentral:tRNA from 1 species